rnacentral:rRNA from 1 species
CCUACGGGUGGCUGCAGUCGAGAAUCUUCGGCAAUGGGCGCAAGCCUGACCGAGCGACGCCGCGUGCGGGAUGAAGGUCUUCGGAUUGUAAACCGCUGUCGGAGGGGAUGAAAUGCAUGGGGGUACUCCCCUGUGUUUGACAGAGCCUCGGAGGAAGCACGGGCUAAGUUCGUGCCAGCAGCCGCGGUAAUACGAACUGUGCGAACGUUAUUCGGAAUCGCUGGGGUUAAAGGGUGCGUAAGUCACGUGUGAAAGCCCCCGGCUCAACCGGGGAACUGCGCUUGAAACUGGGGUGCGUGAGUGAGGUAGGGGUGUAUGGAACUUCCGGUGGAGAGGUGAAAUGUGUAGAUAUCGGAAGGAACGCCGGCGGCGAAAGCGGUACACUGGGCCUUGUCUGACGCUGAGGCACGAAAGCUAGGGGAGUGAACGGGAUUAGAUACCCCGGUAGUC